CGGCGGACGGGUGAGUAAUGCCUAGGGAAUCUGCCUGGUAGUGGGGGACAACGUUUCGAAAGGAACGCUAAUACCGCAUACGUCCUACGGGAGAAAGCAGGGGACCUUCGGGCCUUGCGCUAUCAGAUGAGCCUAGGUCGGAUUAGCUAGUUGGUGAGGUAAUGGCUCACCAAGGCGACGAUCCGUAACUGGUCUGAGAGGAUGAUCAGUCACACUGGAACUGAGACACGGUCCAGACUCCUACGGGAGGCAGCAGUU
rnacentral:rRNA from 1 species